GUAAAACAGCCACAGUAAUAACUUCCAUUUAUUAUUUCCCAAGCAUCGUCCUAGUGGCUGUAUACAUAUUAUCUCCUUGAUUCCUCGCCAAAUCUUGACUAUGAGCAAUUCUUACGUCUGUAUUAUAGGUGCGGCAACAGGGGCUCAUAUAGGUUAAGUGACAUGCCCUCGUUCAGUCAACCAAUGAGUGGUGGAAUUGAAAUCUGGACUAGAGUUGACCAUUCCUGGACACAGAAAUGGAGAAGGAACCACUCUGCUGUCCAGCAACUUUGACAAGGCCUGUUUCUGUUGGGAUCCACCAUGCUUUCCUUGACCAUUCUCUGCCUCAGGUCACAGGAUCUCUGUCCAGAAUUCUCCUGUCUUGGAAGAUUUGAAAUGUACCACUAAAUUAAUUCAAAAGUUCACUUGUAGAAUACGGAAUCCUAGAACUUCAUUUAAAAGUGAGGACUAUCUAAGGGGCAUCUGGAUGACUCAGUUAAACAUCUGACUCAUGACCUCAGCUCAGGUCUUGAUUGCAGGGUUGCGAGUUGAAAGCCCACAUUGGGCUCCAUACUGGGCAUGGAACCUACUUAAAAAAUAAAAAAUAAAAAAUAAAAAAAUUAACA
rnacentral:lncRNA from 1 species